ensembl:lncRNA
CAGCUUGGGUGCACGCUCACUGGGGCUUGGGAGAAGCAGGGCACCAGGUGCAGACCUCUGUGUCCUGGAGCAGAGGGGCAGAGUGAAGGGGAGCAUGCAUCCUUGCAGGUGAGUCCUGGACUGCCCUUCCCCUGUCUGCUCCAUGCUCCUCCAAGAGCUAUUACUUCCUCCUCAGCUUCUUUGUCCAGCGUCUGUCCAUUCAAAGCUUAUUGAACUCUUAAUUGAAAUCCUAACUAUCCCUCAAGGCCAGCUACAACGUCUCCUCCUGGAUCACAUUUGUCCUGAGUACAAGGAAAACCUGGAAAGCUUGCAAGAAGUGCAUGUAGAUUACUACUCUCCUCCUGCCCCGCCCCCUCGUCUCUGGUACAGUGACCUCCUCCCCAGAAGAUCCAGGCCUGACAGCCUUUAGACCACACCUUGAGAUCCAGGUCUUAGUGCCCGGAGUCCAAGGAAUGAGUCCUGGGCGACAGUGUACUAUGUGACUUCAAUGUGCCCCUCCUCUCUGGACCUCUCUUUUGCCCUCUGCAGUGACACACUGGGCUGCUCCUGGCCAUUUGGUUGAGCAUGAUGGGAGCUGUUCUGAGAGGACACCGCAGCUGCCAUCAGGCAGUGCAUGGGAGGGUGGGCUGAGGUGUCCCAGCCCCACCUGACCUGGGCCAGAGGGUUUCAUGUUCACGUUGAGAAGCAGUUCAGGAGAGGCAAGCAGUUCAGGAGAGGCAUGCUCUGUUCUGGAGGAGGAGAGGCUGGGAAGUUGGGCUGGAGCAGGCAGGUUUGGAGUGUCUGAUGUUGGGUGCCUAGGGAGGGCCCGGCCUGGGUGGCCCAGUGAGCUGAGGGUAUCCUGCUCUGUGGCCCUGUGGCACACUGGCUGAGGCAGUGAGUGCAAGUGGAACAAGCCAUUUGUAGCUAAGUAAACUGAGGUACACAGUGGGAGGGGCCUUUCCUGAUGUGCAUGAGAUGUGGGAAGCUGGGCUGGCCAAGCUCUUGGCUCUGGGCAGGACCACACUUCUGUGUCCCCACCUCCCUCUGCAGGGUUGGGGGCAGAUCACCCCGCUGGGACAAUCCACUGAUUGUUUCUGAGGUGGAGAGGCCAGGGCCUGGAAGAGUGAACCAUGGUCACAGCCACCCUGGAGGCAUGGAACUGGUCGGGUGUGCAAGGGACCCUUCAGCCAUCCUGCAUCCCACUUUUUUGUUUUUCUUUGAACUGUCUGUGCUGUACCAGCUGUCUCUGUGCCCACUUCCGCCUGGCACUGGCUUCAUGCUCUUUCUUGUGAGAACAAAGCUUCCUUCUGUUGGCCACCCGAUGACAACAGGAGAAGGGCAGGCGUGGCACUGGGCCUCCUUCCUCCCGUCCACUUUCUGGGAGCAAGAGGCAGCCCUGGUGGGGUGUGAGGGAGCCAGCAAAGCCCUGUUCGCAUUCCCUUCGGCAGCCCAGUGGCAGGACCCAGAAGUUCCCCAUCGGUGGUCAGAAGGAUGGAGAAGGCACCACACAGGGACAGAUUGAAAGUCUUCCCUACCAGUCUAAGCUGCUGAGACCAAAAGCUGUAUCUGAAUGAGGGAGGCACUUUUAUUGAGCAUCUACUUUGUUCCAGGCUUUUUUCUAGGUGAACAGAACAGGUACUAUCCCUGCUGUGGACUUGGGGCUGCCAUGCUAGUGAUGGGAUAGAAUCAACAAACCACCAGUAUGUAUGAGCCAGGUGGCAAGAAGUGCUCAGAGAAAAAUAAGGCUGACUUGAGGGCGUGGCAGUCAGAGGGAUCAUGUGGCUACCUCAUGGAGAAGAGACAAGGUGGCUGGCAGAGGGAGGUGCAGGAUGGCCGCCCCGAGGUGCCUGUGGUCACCAAAUGAGAGGACAGUGGUGUCGGGUGGUGAGUGGCACCAGUGCUCAGAUUCUGGAUUCACUUUGCAGGAUGAGCUGAUGGGAGCAGGGCAGGUGGGCUUGUGGAGGGAAUGGAGAUUGAGAUUGUGGAUGAGCCCAGCUAGGCUUGGGGUGCACGCUGGUCGAGGAGACGGCCCUGGCCUUGUGUUCCUGUUGCUGCCCAGAGGGGGUCGAUGUUAGACCCUCCCUCCUCAGCUGUGUC